CAACAUUAUAUUCCUGGCUACACCACGUGGGUGUGUACCAUUAUUGUUGUUGGUUAAUUUGCAUUGUUUUAUGUCACUUCAUUAUACAACCAUGCCAUGGCUUAUUUACCCACUCCGUUUUUUUCUGGGUUUUGAAUUAUUUCCAAUGUUGGUUUUCUAUUUGCUUGUUCUAUAACCAAAGUCCCUAGAACAGUCUUAUUGAUGUCAUCUUAUUUGGUACCUAUGCAAGUAUUUUUCUAAAUUGUAAACCCAGUGAAGUGCAGAGUAAUAGUGUACGCACUUGCAAACUUGACUGGAUAAUGCCAGAUUGAUGUUCAAAGUGUUUCUAAUGAUUCCCGUUCCUGUGUGGGAGUUCUUGUCUCACACCGUGGCUAACACUGACAUCAUCAGAACUUCUCAUGUCUGCCGGUCUGGUGGGUGCAAAAUAGUAUCUCAUUGUGAUUUUAAUUUGCAUUUCUCUGAUUGCUGAUGAGACUGGAGCAUCUUCUCGUGUGUCUGACUUGAAUUUUUAAAUCUACUUUUAGACUAGAAAGGAACAAAGCUAAGUGGAGGGAGAGAAAUGGGAAGAGCUCUAUAUCCAACCCCUAACUGUGGAAAUUAUGACUCCAUAAUUGCCCAUAUCUGUGGCAGCUUUCCCCUGAUUGGAGCAAUUUAAAUAUGCAAAAUGAGCACUGCCCUUGAAUCCCCCCUCAGAGGCUUUAUCUUUCUGAUGCUGCUCAGGAUCUUUGAAGGGAAGGGGUCAUGUCAGAGCCAGAGCAUGGGAAAACACGGAAGGCUCUUAACUUUUUGGAAUGAAAGAUGUUUGUGAAUGUGUGGAAACUAAGUACAAUCAAAAAUUUCAAAAACCAAUUCGUAGAUUGGCCAGGUGAACUAAAAUGUGGCUUUUUCUUUCACUUAUUCAUCUCUUUCUCUCUCAUUUUCCUUCUGUCUCUUCUCCCUCCCUUUUUUCAUCCCUUCUCCCUUUUUUCCUUCCUGAUCACCACCCAGCUAAAUUGUCGUCUCAGUCCGAGUGUGUGCUGCUUCCUACUGGGGACAUCACUGCAGCCAAGCAGUAUUUUGGAUAUUUGUGAGGGUUUUCCUGGCACUCAUUGGCUAUGAACCAAAUAUGUGGUCAUCGAGACAGUCUCAAACAAUAAUAAAUGAUUCCCUAUAUGACAGAUCAUGAGAAAUUGAUCCAAUAAGCAGUGCGAGCCUGCAAUCUCACGGAGGCGGAGCAGGGAUUCCAGUUGGAAGGCUGUGACCAUCACCCCGGCUGGAAACACCAUGCACGCUGCCUCAUCCUCCCCAGGACUCAGGAGCAGGUUCUUGCGUGUGCUGUGUUCUUUACAUAUCACAGACCUACACGUGGAUGUAAGCAGGAGAAGUGGAUGCCAUGAGUCCACUCAUAGGAUUUUCAGUGUAACAUCAGAUGGCAGGCAGACAAGGCUGUGGCUGACACAAUCCUCUCUGGUCAGCCCAACAGAGUUGCUGAAGUGCUUGCUGGGACCAACAUAUGAUGAGGUGGUGAAGUGCAGUAUAAUUAAGACAGGGAAACAGAAAUGCUCAGAUGGACUGGAGGCUGGGUCUGUGAGCUCAGUUCACCAUAAGGUUCAAGUGGCCUAGAGAUGAGAAGAUCCUGUGGAAGGAGAAUAUAUAGCUUCCUUACAUGAAAUGAAGGAGAAAUGACUCAUACAAAGUCAGCCAAGUAUCUUCAAGAUCUGGGAAACAAUUUCACGUCAAGUCCAUAAUUUCUGUGCUAGCACAUACAGACCAUGACCACCUGACUCUUGAAGUAGUCGGUAUCUAUAUGUUUUGAAAUAAUCCUUCAGCUCUACUCUACCCCUGAUGAACAGUAACCUAGAAGAGUUCUACAAAGUGAAAGACUUUUUAUGAGUCUGUAGUUUGAGGAUGAACUAUUAUUUCAUCUUCAAAGGGCACACUAAAUGUAAAUGCAAUUGGUAUUUAAGAUGAUUUAACAUCAGAAAGACAGUAUCACAUAUGCAUGGCCUGGAAUAACAUCGGAAAUUUGGUGGGCGCUCUGUAGGCACUGGGGUCAUGAGGAGGAGCUGCCUUAGCUGUCAUCCAGAUGCAUUUGUGUUACCAUGGAAACAGGAG
ensembl:lncRNA